rnacentral:rRNA from 1 species
AACGAACGCUGGCGGCAGGCCUAACACAUGCAAGUCGAGCGGCACCUUCGGGUGUAGCGGCGGACGGGUGAGUAACGCGUGGGAACGUACCCUUUGCUACGGAAUAGCCUCGGGAAACUGAGAGUAAUACCGUAUGUGCCCUUCGGGGGAAAGAUUUAUCGGCAAAGGAUCGGCCCGCGUUGGAUUAGGUAGUUGGUGGGGUAAUGGCCUACCAAGCCGACGAUCCAUAGCUGGUUUGAGAGGAUGAUCAGCCACACUGGGACUGAGACACGGCCCAGACUCCUACGGGAGGCAGCAGUGGGGAAUCUUAGACAAUGGGGGAAACCCUGAUCUAGCCAUGCCGCGUGAGCGAUGAAGGCCUUAGGGUUGUAAAGCUCUUUCAGUGGGGAAGAUAAUGACGAUACCCACAGAAGAAGCCCCGG